GCAAGGAUUCCCCUCCGAACUCAUCUUCCCCGUCUCCGACUCUAUCUCUCCCUCUGGUCAUGCUCAAGCUCUCACCAAAGAAUAGUAAAAGUGUUGUCAUUGUUCAAGAACGUCUAUCCAGCAAAGUAUCUCUUUGUGCAGUUGAUAUUUUCAAAAGGAAAUCGGGGUUUUAGGGUUUUAGAAAUCCUGAGUCUUGUUCGUCAUCGUUGCCGGCUCAACCUCUCCUUGAAGUGGCCAUCGAUGGCUGAAGAACGCGUAUGCAGAAAAAAAUUUCUUUGUGCCGUUAACAUUUCAAAAAAUAAAGGGGAUUUGGGUUUUAGAAAUCCAGAAUCGAAGUCCUUGCUAGCGAUUUGGGCGACAUUGGAAUAAUCCAUCUCUACUUCUUGAGAUAAUCUCUACAUUUACUCUCUCAUUCUGGAUCGGACGGUAUCAUUGAGUCGGAUUCUAGUAUGUUUUCACUGAACAAUCAGCAAAAGAGGUUGAAGAAGGCAUGGAGGAAGAGAUGGUUGCUAAGGAAGCUAAGUAGUGGAAUGGGCAAAGCAAGCGCAUGGUAGAGUGAAUGUGUUUGUGACUCCUGAUGUUUCAGGUGUUGACGAAAGAUUCAAGUGACAUGAUGCACAGGUGAUCUGGUGGAGCUAGGGAAGUUAAACAACCAACAAUAUAAUCUGUCAGCUGAUAAGGGUAGUUUGGUUAUUUGAUAGUGUGGCAGAUGUAUCUGGACAUAGUGGAUGGUAUUUGGAAGCAUAUUACAAUCGUACAAAGGCUUUGGCAGUGUUUAGAAGCAGCAAGUGAAGACCCCAUACAGUUAAAGUUUCAAAAUCACAUGUUCAUGCAGUGGCAGUGUAUUCAGAUCUAAUUUUGGAAGGCUUAAUGGCAGAUCUGAAUUCUACAUGAAAAAUGAAGCUCAUUGAGUUGUGAUUCCAAUGCAAGUUGAAUUGCAUCAUUUCGAUGUUGGACAAAGAAGUUAUGGCAAAUCUCAUACAAUCACACUGAAACAAAACGAAUUGGGAGAGCCCCUGAGAAUUUAUAGAGAAAGAUAUUAUUAUUCAGUUAGAUUUGUUGUCGCUUGCUUUUUAGUAUCUGAAUCUUUAGCUCAGAAAGGAAGAGCAUUUGGGAUUCCUCAAGAGAUGGUGGUUCGAAUCCAUUAAGACUCAUUGAAUGGAUUUCAUGUCUCAUUUUAUGAAAUCUUAUAAAAUGAGUGCAA